UACAGAGGUCUCAAGCGUUGUUCGGCUUCAUUGGGCGUAACGGGUGCGUAGGUGGCCUGGUCAGUUGAAGGUGAAAUCUCGGAGCUCAACUCCGAAACUGCCUUCAAUACUGCUGUGCUUGAGAGCUGUAGAGGAGAAUGGAAUUCACGGUGUAGCAGUGAAAUGCGUAGAUAUCGUGAGGAAGACCAGUGGCGAAGGCGAUUCUCUGGUCAGUUUCUGACACUGAGGCACGAAGGCUAGGGGAGCAAACGGG
rnacentral:rRNA from 1 species